AAUGAAACAUUAAUGAGAUGAAUGACUAUACAUGGUGAGUUAAACUGAAGAACACAUGACUCUAGCAGUAUUUCGAGAAAGAAAAAAGAAACACAACAAUUAUCUCUUCAAACUGGAUCACAUAACUUAAACCUAUGCAUUUCACAUGCUGAUCAGAGGUCAGUACAUACCUGGAAAGAAAAAAAAAUAUAAGUGAGAAUAGCAGCAGUAAGUAACAGGAAACAACCCAGGUUCAAUCAAAAAGAAUAUGAAGCAGUCCAAAACAAACUCCAAUCGAACAAUAAACCAAGGAUAACUUCAUAACCAAACUUUAAAACCAUACUCAACCCAUUUUUAAUCCCAGAUGAAUCCACAAAUUGUUUCAAAAUUGGAAAAGUUCUGAAAUCACCAAAGAAAAUUCAAUAGAACAGUAUCUCUAUGAAAUUUUUAGCCCUUUUAAUUUUUUUUCUGAAUUUUCUCUUUUUUCAGUC
rnacentral:lncRNA from 1 species